rnacentral:rRNA from 1 species
UAACGCGUUAAACAUUCCGCCUGGGGACUACGGUCGCAAGAUUAAAACUCAAAGGAAUUGACGGGGACCCGCACAAGCGGUGGAGCAUGUGGUUUAAUUCGAUGCAACGCGAAAAACCUUACCACUCCUUGACAUGGAAAUUAUACCUAUUCGAAGGGAUAGGGUCGGUUCGGCCGGGUUUCACACAGGUGUUGCAUGGCUGUCGUCAGCUCGUGUCGUGAGAUGUUGGGUUAAGUCCCGCAACGAGCGCAACCCUCAUCCUUAGUUACCAUCAGGUAAUGCUGGGGACUUUAAGGAGACUGCCAGUGAUAAACUGGAGGAAGGUGGGGAUGAUGUCAAGUCAUCAUGGCCCUUAUGGAGUGGGCUACACACGUGCUACAAUGGUGGCUACAAUGGGCUGCAAAGUCGCGAGGCUAAGCCAAUCCCUUAAAAGCCAUCUCAGUUCGGAUUGUACUCUGCAACUCGAGUGCAUGAAGUUGGAAUCGCUAGUAAUCGUGGAUCAGCACGCCACGGUGAAUACGUUCUCGGGUCUUGUACACACUGCCCGUCACGCCAUGGGAAUUGGUUUCACUCGAAGCUAACGACCUAACCGCAAGGAGGGAGUUAUUUAAAGUGGGAUCGGUGACUGGGGUG